CCUACGGGAGGCAGCAGUGAGGAAUAUUGGUCAAUGGACGAGAGUCUGAACCAGCCAAGUAGCGUGAAGGAUGACUGCCCUAUGGGUUGUAAACUUCUUUUAUAUGGGAAUAAAAUGUUCCACGUGUGGGAUUUUGUAUGUACCAUAUGAAUAAGGAUCGACUAACUCCGUGCCAGCAGCCGCGGUAAUACGGAGGAUCCGAGCGUUUUCCGGAUUUAUUGGGUUUAAAGGGAGCGUAGGUGGAUUGUUAAGUCAGUUGUGAAAGUUUGCGGCUCAACCGUAAAAUUGCAGUUGAAACUGGCAGUCUUGAGUACAGUAGAGGUGGGCGGAAUUCGUGGUGUAGCGGUGAAAUGCUUAGAUAUCACGAAGAACUCCGAUUGCGAAGGCAGUUCACUGGACUGCAACUGACACUGAGGCUCGAAAGUGUGGGUAUCAAACAGGAUUAGAUACCCCGGUAGUC
rnacentral:rRNA from 1 species